GAUCCGGUGGCAGAGUGGUUAGAGCGUCCGCCUCGGAUGCGAGAGGUCCCGGGUUCGAACCCUGGUCAAAUCA